GCUUMACUCCCAACCMAUGUGAACCAUACCAAACUGUUGCCUCGGCGGGGUCACGCCCCGGGUGCGUCGCAGCCCCGGAACCAGGCGCCCGCCGGAGGGACCAACCAAACUCUUUUCUGUAGUCCCCUCGCGGACGUUAUUUCUUACAGCUCUGAGCAAAAAUUCAAAAUGAAUCAAAACUUUCAACAACGGAUCUCUUGGUUCUGGCAUCGAUGAAGAACGCAGCGAAAUGCGAUAAGUAAUGUGAAUUGCAGAAUUCAGUGAAUCAUCGAAUCUUUGAACGCACAUUGCGCCCGCCAGUAUUCUGGCGGGCAUGCCUGUCCGAGCGUCAUUUCAACCCUCGAACCCCUCCGGGGGGUCGGCGUUGGGGAUCGGGAACCCCUAAGACGGGAUCCCGGCCCCGAAAUACAGUGGCGGUCUCGCCGCAGCCUCUCCUGCGCARUAKUUUGCACAACUCGCACCGGGAGCGCGGCGCGUCCACGUCCGUAAAACACCCAACUUCKGAAAUGUUGACCUCGGAKCAGGUAGGAAUACCCGCUGAACUUAASCAUAUGWAUAMSAGGAGGGGAU
rnacentral:rRNA from 1 species